rnacentral:rRNA from 1 species
GUGGGGAAUAUUGCGCAAUGGGCGAAAGCCUGACGCAGCGACGCCGCGUGAGGGAUGAAGGCCUUCGGGUUGUAAACCUCUUUCAGCAGGGACGAAGCGAGAGUGACGGUACCUGCAGAAGAAGCACCGGCCAACUACGUGCCAGCAGCCGCGGUAAUACGUAGGGUGCAAGCGUUGUCCGGAAUUAUUGGGCGUAAAGAGCUCGUAGGCGGUCUGUCGCGUCGGCUGUGAAAACUCGGGGCUCAACCCCGAGCCUGCAGUCGAUACGGGCAGACUAGAGUGCUGUAGGGGAGACUGGAAUUCCUGGUGUAGCGGUGAAAUGCGCAGAUAUCAGGAGGAACACCGGUGGCGAAGGCGGGUCUCUGGGCAGUAACUGACGCUGAGGAGCGAAAGCGUGGGGAGCAAACAGGAUUAGAUACCCUGGUAGUCCACGCCGUAAACGGUGGGUGCUAGGUGUGAGCGGUAUUCCACGCCGUUUCGUGCCGCAGCUAACGCAUUAAGCACCCCGCCUGGGGAGUACGGCCGC